rnacentral:ncRNA from 1 species
ACAAAGUUUUGGUCCUAAACUUGCCGUUGUUUAUUACCAGAAUUAUACAUGCAAGUCUCAGCACCCCAGUGUAAAUGCCCACUAAUAACCCCAAACAGAUUGCCGGAGCAGGUAUCAGGCACACCAACAAAUGAAGCCAACGACACCAAGCUAUGCCACACCCACACGGGUCAUCAGCAGUAAUUAACAUUAAGCAAUAGGCGACCCAAAGCCUGACUUAGUCACGGUAAACCAAGGGCUGGUUAAUUUCGUGCCAGCCACCGCGGUUAUACGAAAAGCCCAAAACAAUGGCCCUCGGCGUAAAGCGUGGAAAGAGUUAAACCCAACCUAAAAAUUUAAUGGGAAACCCUAAACACUAGCUGUAAUACGCCACGGUAAACAGGAACCACAACCACGCCAUUAAACCACAGGACCACUCAAACCCACGAAAGCUAAGAAACAAACUGGGAUUAGAUACCCCACUAUGCCUAGCCAUCAACAAAGACAGUUUAAAAACAACACCGUCCGCCAGAGAACUACAAGCAAAAAACUAGAAACUCAAAGGACUUGGCGGUGCUCCACAUCCACCUAGAGGAGCCUGUCCUAUAAUCGAUACCCCACGCUUUAACCCAACCACCCCUAGCAAACACACAGUCUAUAUACCGCCGUCGCCAGCCUACCUUAUGAAAGGAGAACAGUAAGCAAAACAGUAAUCACUAGAACGUCAGGUCAAGGUGUAGCAAAUGAGGUGGAAGAGAUGGGCUACAUUUCCUAAACAUAGGAAAAACGAACAGAAAGGUGAAACACUUACUAGAAGGAGAAUUUAGCAGUAAGACGAACAAGUUUUUUCAUCUUAAAACAGCCCUGGAGCGCGCACACACCGC